rnacentral:rRNA from 1 species
UACAGAGGUGGCAAGCGUUGUUCGGAAUUACUGGGCGUAAAGGGCUCGUAGGUGGCCAACUAAGUCAGACGUGAAAUCCCUCGGCUUAACCGGGGAACUGCGUCUGAUACUGGAUGGCUUGAGUUCGGGAGAGGGAUGCGGAAUUCCAGGUGUAGCGGUGAAAUGCGUAGAUAUCUGGAGGAACACCGGUGGCGAAGGCGGCAUCCUGGACCGGCAUUGACGCUGAGGCGCGAAAGCCAGGGGAGCAAACGGG